rnacentral:rRNA from 1 species
UACGAAGGGGGCAAGCGUUGUUCGGAAUUACUGGGCGUAAAGGGCGCGUAGGCGGCUUAUCAAGUCAGGCGUGAAAUUCCCGGGCUCAACCUGGGGGCUGCGCUUGAUACUGAUGAGCUUGAAUGCGGGAGAGGAUAGUGGAAUUCCCAGUGUAGAGGUGAAAUUCGUAGAUAUUGGGAAGAACACCGGUGGCGAAGGCGGCGAGCUGGUCCAUUACUGACGCUGAGGCGCGACAGCGUGGGGAGCAAACAGG